AUACGGAGGGUCCAAGCGUUAUCCGGAUUCAUGGGGUUUAAAGGGUCCGCAGGCGGGAAAAUAAGUCAGUGGUGAAAGCCUACAGCUCAACUGUAGAACUGCCAUUGAAACUGUUUUUCUUGAGUAUAGAUGAAGUGGGCGGAAUAUAUCAUGUAGCGGUGAAAUGCAUAGAUAUGAUAUAGAACACCGAUUGCGAAGGCAGCUCACUAAACUAUUACUGACGCUCAGGGACGAAAGCGUGGGGAGCGAACAGGAUUAGAUACCCUAGUAGUCC
rnacentral:rRNA from 1 species